GUUGCCCCUGCAUCCAGCACAUUGAAAGUUCAGGUAACCCCAGGCUUGGCGUAACCAUGGCAACCUUAAUGGAACAGAAUGACCUAGCAUAAAUUCAGGCCCGAGCUCGUUAUGAAAUGUAAGGAAGCUCUGUCUGCUCCAGACAGUUUGGAGGGAAAGGUGCCUUGCUCCCCAUGGGUGACCAUUAGGUUUCCCUAAUAGCACAGAGCAGGAGCAGGUGAAGCCACAUUCAGAGUGAACAGGAAGCCCUGAUGGACGUGUAGAAUGGCUUUCUGUGGCCUGUGAACUGGGUUGACAUGUCAAUCUGGCCAUUUAUUUCCGUGUUCUGGCUGUGCCUUGGGCUUGCUGAAUAAAGCCAGAUGGGCACUCCAGCAGUGGCAGGAACCUGGGACGUCUCGUAUGCAAGUACUCGUGUAUGUGCACACACUGGCGGGCACACGGAUGAGGUCCAGCUGCCUCAAUGAAAAUGCAUCUGAUACAAUAUUCAUCUGCUCAGAGUCCCUUGCAGAUAAGGAUGACCAUGUGACACAGAUCAGACCGACGAGACAUAUGCUGAAUUCUGCUAACAAUUUCUGGUCAAGUUUUGGCUCUCCUGGUGUGGAUGCCAUCUGUUCCUUCCCCAUGUCCCUCUUCUUUCUGCCUAAGACACCUUUUGAGGGCACCUAGGCCAUUGAUAAAUUUGUACAUGCUGCCCCUCCUACAUAUCCUACCUCUAGAUUCUCUGAGUAGGAGACUGAGAAAUAGAGACUAUUUGGUUAAGCCCCAUAGUUGGGAUUCUGUGGCAAGCAGCCACAUAUAGAUUAAAUGUAAGUUAAAGUGGUUUGGGUGAGACAAAAUGGUAGCUUAGAGCAAGCAGUAUAGCAGCUGUGGUGAUGGGGAGAAACAGAGACACUCAAGAGCUAUAUAGGAAGCAAAAUUCAUGGGACAGCCACAUAGGAAGACCUUCCCCUGGAGAGGUUGCUGGUAAACCCCACUCUCCCCACCCUGUUUCAUUUCUUUCAAGUCUUAUUGGACAAGCCCCUACACCUGCUGUACUUCAUCCACUUUGGCUUUUCCCAGACCCGAAGUUCCUCUUUUUCUAAAUAUCACCAUAGUGGAU
rnacentral:lncRNA from 12 species